GGUGAAGCUGCGGAGGGAUCAUUACCGAAGUGAGGGGCCCUCUGGGUCCAACCCUCCCACCCGUUGUUUAUUUUACCUUGUUGCUUCGGCGGGCCCGCCUUAACUGGCCGCCGGGGGGCUUACGCCCCCGGGCCCGCGCCCGCCGAAGACACCCUCGAACUCUGUCUGAAGAUUGUAGUCUGAGUGAAAAUAUAAAUUAUUUAAAACUUUCAACAACGGAUCUCUUGGUUCCGGCAUCGAUGAAGAACGCAGCGAAAUGCGAUACGUAAUGUGAAUUGCAAAUUCAGUGAAUCAUCGAGUCUUUGAACGCACAUUGCGCCCCCUGGUAUUCCGGGGGGCAUGCCUGUCCGAGCGUCAUUUCUGCCCUCAAGCACGGCUUGUGUGUUGGGCCCCGUCCUCCGAUCCCGGGGGACGGGCCCGAAAGGCAGCGGCGGCACCGCGUCCGGUCCUCGAGCGUAUGGGGCUUUGUCACCCGCUCUGUAGGCCCGGCCGGCGCUUGCCGAUCAACCCAAAUUUUUAUCCAGGUUGACCUCGGAUCAGGUAGGGAUACCCGCUGAACUUAAGCAU
rnacentral:rRNA from 1 species